UUGUCGGGUAAGUUCCGACCUGCACGAAUGGCGUAACGACUUCCCCACUGUCUCGGGCAGGGACUCAGCGAAGUAGCACGUGGGGGUGAAGAUACCCUCUACCCACGGCAGGACGGAAAGACCCCCGUGAACCUUCACUACAGUUUGACACUGAUUGACGAAAUUUUCUGCGUAGUCUAGGUGGGACGCUUUGAAGCCGGGAUUCUGGUCUCGGUGGAGCGGCAAUAUGAAAAACCACCCUGAAAAUUUUGGCAAUCUAACCUACACCCCUGAGCGGGGUGGGGGACACUGUCUGAUGGGUAGUUUGACUGGGGCGGUCGCCUCCCAAAGAGUAACGGAGGCGCGCGAAGGUCCCCUCAGCCUGAUUGGAAACCAGGCGCCGAGUGUAAUGGCAUAAGGGGGCUUGACUGCGAGUCCGACGAGACGAGCAGGUACGAAAGUAGGUCAUAGUGAUCCGGUGGCUCCACAUGGAAGGGCCAUCGCUCAACGGAUAAAAGGUACUCCGGGG
rnacentral:rRNA from 1 species